UACGUAGGUGGCGAGCGUUGUCCGGAUUUACUGGGCGUAAAGGGAGCGUAGGCGGACUUUUAAGUGAGAUGUGAAAUACUCGGGCUCAACUUGAGUGCUGCAUUUCAAACUGGAAGUCUAGAGUGCAGGAGAGGAGAAUGGAAUUCCUAGUGUAGCGGUGAAAUGCGUAGAGAUUAGGAAGAACACCAGUGGCGAAGGCGAUUUUCUGGACUGUGACUGACGCUGAGGCUCGAAAGCGUGGGGAGCAAACAGG
rnacentral:rRNA from 1 species